CACGUAGGGCGCGAGCGUUGUCCGGAAUUAUUGGGCGUAAAGAGCUCGUAGGCGGCCUGUGCGUCCGCUGUGAAAGCCCGGGGCUUAACCCCGGGUCGGCAGUGGAUACGGGCAGGCUAGAGGUAGGUAGGGGAGAAUGGAAUUCCCGGUGUAGCGGUGAAAUGCGCAGAUAUCGGGAGGAACACCGGUGGCGAAGGCGGUUCUCUGGGCCUUACCUGACGCUGAGGAGCGAAAGCGUGGGGAGCGAACAGG
rnacentral:rRNA from 1 species